rnacentral:rRNA from 1 species
GUCCACGCUGUAAACGAUGGAUACUAGGUGUGGGAGGUAUCGACCCCUUCCGUGCCGCAGUUAACGCAAUAAGUAUCCCGCCUGGGGAGUACGGCCGCAAGGUUGAAACUCAAAGGAAUUGACGGGGCCCGCACAAGCAGCGGAGCAUGUGGUUUAAUUCGAAGCAACGCGAAGAACCUUACCAGAACUUGACAUCGUCUGCAUUACCCGUAAUGGGGGAAGUCCUUCGGGACAGAUAGACAGGUGGUGCAUGGUUGUCGU